AGUGAACGCUGGCGGUAGGCCUAACACAUGCAAGUCGAACGGCAGCACAGUAAGAGCUUGCUCUUACGGGUGGCGAGUGGCGGACGGGUGAGGAAUACAUCGGAAUCUACUUUUUCGUGGGGGAUAACGUAGGGAAACUUACGCUAAUACCUCAUACGACCUACGGGUGAAAGCAGGGGAUCUUCGGACCUUGCGCGAUUGAAUGAGCCGAUGUCGGAUUAGCUAGUUGGCGGGGUAAAGGCCCACCAAGGCGACGAUCCGUAGCUGGUCUGAGAGGAUGAAGCGCCACACUGGAACUGAGACACGGUCCAGACUCCGACGGGAGGCAGCAGUGGGGAAUAUUGGACAAUGGGCGGAAGACUGCUCCAGCCAUACCGCGUGGGUGAAGAAGGCCUUCGGGUUGUAAAGCCCUUUUGUCGGGAAAGAAAAGCAGCAGGUGAAUACCCCGCUGUUCUGACGGUACCCAAAGAAUAAGCACCGGCUAACUUCGUG
rnacentral:rRNA from 1 species